rnacentral:rRNA from 1 species
CCUACGGGAGGCAGCAGUGAGGAAUAUUGGUCAAUGGACGCAAGUCUGAACCAGCCAUGCCGCGUGCAGGAAGACGGCUCUAUGAGUUGUAAACUGCUUUUGUACGAGGGUAAACGCAGAUACGUGUAUCUGUCUGAAAGUAUCGUACGAAUAAGGAUCGGCUAACUCCGUGCCAGCAGCCGCGGUAAUACGGAGGAUUCAAGCGUUAUCCGGAUUUAUUGGGUUUAAAGGGUGCGUAGGCGGUCGGAUAAGUUAGAGGUGAAAUCCCGAGGCUCAACUUCGGAAUUGCCUCUGAUACUGGUAGGCUAGAGAGUAGUUGCGGUAGGCGGAAUGUAUGGUGUAGCGGUGAAAUGCUUAGAGAUCAUACAGAACACCGAUUGCGAAGGCAGCUUACCAAACUACGUCUGACGUUGAGGCACGAAAGCGUGGGGAGCAAACAGGAUUAGAUACCCCUGUAGUC